GGACAUAGAUAGAAGUUAGGUACGAAAGAGGGGUAUCUGUAGGCGGUGGGUGCGCAAUUGCGUCCAAUUCGGUCUCUAAAAAGCUGAGAUUCAGAAACAGAAACUCUGGAUUCCUCUUACCGUCCUAAGCGACGGUUCAUAUGCCGGUUGGCUUUCAGGUUUUGCCGGAUUUGGAUAUAGACAACUUCAUUUCCUUCAACAAGACAUGGAGAAAGUGUGCUUCUGGUCAAAUUGCUUCCAGUUUCGAGUUUUUUCAUUUCAAGAAGUGCUCGACUGGCGGUUUCUUGUCCUUGGAGACUUUCUUUUGGUUUCCUUUGUUAAUUGCACUUAGUGGUCAGUUUCUCUUUAAUGAACAGAACAAGAGGCGUGAUGCAAAAUUUUUCUGACAUAGGUGUUGGAUCUUUAGUGCACUUGUUCAAUGCAUUACUGAUACAACAUCCAGUCAAAGCUCUUGGCAACACGUCUUCUGGGGAUUAAAGUCUGCAAGGAACCAAUUGAAAGCUACUUAGGUAGUUAUAGAUAAGCCCUUUCUUACUUCAAAUCUCUGCAGACUGUAGUUCUUAGAAAAUGAUUGCUCGCAAUGGGUGCUGGUUUUGAGUGUCAAGAUACAAGGUCACUGAACAAUUUCUACAUAGUGUAGAUGAGGUAGCUUUUUAUCGUGUUGUCAAACCCUUUAGCGACUGUCUUGAGCAUAGGGAUCCUUCCUGUUGGCUACAGCAAUCAUUCUGGUCGGUUCCUACUUCUGUGUUUGGUACCAAUAUGUUUCGCCGUCCUUGUUUUAUCCUGUCCUCCAUGCUUUCUGUCUAUCUUGAAGUUGUGGCAAUGAUAAUGAAUGAGCCCAUCCAUCAAAAUCAUUCUGGUUUUGUUCUCUCAAUUACCUUCACAGAAAAUUAACUGGAGAGUUAGCUGGACCAAGGCAGGCUUGUAUACUUUCUACUAGGGUUCAUCUAGCUUAGAUGUCAUAUAGCGUUUUUGAGACUUAAUACUUUUCGUGAAUAAAGGAGGAGCUUCUUUGUGUUCCACAAGGAGAAUGGAGAGGUACAAGUUAAUCAAGGAAGUUGGUGAUGGAACAUUUGGGAGCGUGUGGCGAGCGAUUAAUAAGCAAUCUGGUGAAGUUGUUGCGAUUAAAAAGAUGAAGAAAAAAUAUUAUUCAUGGGAAGAGUGCGUUAAUCUGAGAGAAGUUAAGUCAUUGCGGAGAAUGAAUCAUCCAAAUAUUGUGAAACUCAAGGAAGUCAUACGGGAAAAUGGCAUAUUGUACUUUGUUUUUGAGUACAUGGAAUGCAACCUUUAUCAACUUAUUAAGGACAGAGAAAAGCUAUUAUCAGAAGCUGAAGUCAGGAAUUGGUGUUUCCAAGUGUUUCAAGGUCUUGCUUACAUGCACCACCGAGGAUAUUUUCACCGUGACUUGAAGCCAGAGAACUUGUUGGUUACGAAGCAUCAAAUUAAAAUCGCUGAUUUUGGUCUUGCUCGAGAAAUCAAUUCACAACCACCCUAUACGGAGUAUGUCUCAACACGGUGGUAUCGGGCCCCAGAGGUGCUGCUUCAGUCAUACCUAUAUGGUUCCAAAGUUGAUAUGUGGGCAAUGGGUGCUAUCAUGGCUGAACUAUUUUCUCUUCGUCCUCUUUUUCCUGGUACAAGUGAAGCAGAUGAGAUCUACAAAAUAUGCAAUAUAAUAGGGAGUCCAACAGAGGACUCCUGGGCUGAUGGCCUUAAUCUUGCAAGUGCUAUUAACUAUCAAUUCCCACAGGUUGGAUUUAUCUAUUUCUCAAUUCCCACAGGUUGUCUAUUUCCUUUGCAUGUGUCUGAGGUUACAUGUUCACUACUGCUUCCAUAAAACUGGAAAUUACUGAUAAAAUUAUUGUUUCUAUGUUGCAUACUUGGGAAUUUUCUAGUCCUUGUUACUUGUUGCUAGGCAUGUUGAACGUAAAUUAUAUUUAGUGUACACACCUAUAGUAGUUUUAAAAUACACUUGUCUUAUUUGACAUUUCAGUCAGUUGGUGUCCACCUUUCUGCACUCAUACCAUCAGCAAGUGAGGAUGCAAUCAACCUUAUCAAGUUGCUUUGUUCUUGGGAUCCAUGCAAGAGGCCUACAGCCACAGAGGCACUUCAACAUCCUUUUUUCCAGAGUUGCUUUUAUUAUGUUCCACCAACCCUUCGUUCCAGAGCACCUGUUUCUAGAACUCCUUCAUCUGCUGGGACAAAGGCCACCUUGGAGCAGCAAUAUGCGCAUCCAGUGGUAUUGUCUAAUUUAAAGGUCUCUCAAAGUUUUCCAUCUCCAAAGUUCAAUGCUUGCUUGAGCACAGGUUGGUAUGAUAUAAUUGGCUUUUGAACUUGUAAGUUGUCUUGCAUAUUGGAUCUAGUAAUUUUUCAUUUAUGUAUUUAUGAUAUGUAUGAUGACUUGCAUUUCUUUUUGCAUUUUUGUACUAAUGUGGAUAUUCUAUGUAUGAGUUGUCAACAAUGCUCUGAGCCUCUGACAUUAUUAUAAAUAUAUCAAAAUUAUUUUUUUGGAUCUCGUUUUAUGCAUUUGCAUACAUAUGAUUUUGUUCUAAUGUUAUUUAGUGCACCAAAAAUUGAAUGGGAAGCUAGUUUAUGAACUAGUUGUCAAAUGCAUUUUAAAAUGUAGGUUGGUUUGGAAUGUAGUAUUUAGAUCCUUAUAUUAUGCUAAUCUUGCAGGUGUACAGCGUAAACUGGACCUGGUUAACCAGGUAAAAAAAUAUUUUAUUUGUGUUGAAUUGUUUAUGACUAUCAAUUAUUAAUUUAUUUUCUUUUUGAAUGAAAAGUGAGAAUUAUGCUCAACAUACUUCGAACUAGGUUUUAGGCCACUUUUACAUCACACAUGCUUUAACUAUGUUAUAGGAAGGUUGGGCAAGUUGGUAAUCUGAGGAGUUCAGAAUGUAUGUAGUACACCCUUUUCGGGUAGCGCAGAAAAUUGGCUGAGUAGUUUCUACAUGUGUCAAUAGUCACCUGCAUAUAAUUUGAUAUAACUAUCUUUUCAUGGUGUAGCUGUUUUUGUAUUUAAUUUGUUAAACCUUCUUCUGAUUGUUCCUUAUUUGGAUGUUUGUGUGCAUCAAAUCCCAUAAUUCCCCUAUUCAUGCAAUCAUUUUAUGUUUCUUACAAGAGUAGAGCCUGGUCACAGCAGUUGCAUUUAAUGGCACCCAAUAGUGCAGACAUACAGAUAAAAAAUCUAAUUGGAAAAUUUCCCUAUUCUCUUGAGGCUCUAAUGCAUUUGUACAAUUAACGUGGGGACAAAAUUAGAGGUCACUGGUGGGAAAAUCAUAGUUGAAUAUAUUGUGCAUGACUGCAGUAUUAGUAAUUCUGAGUUGACUUUUUUAUGAAGGACGCUAGUGGAAAUGAUAAAGCAUUUAAGAGUACUA
rnacentral:misc_RNA from 1 species